GGGUAACCUACCUAUAAGACUGGGACAACUUCGGGAAACCGGAGCUAAUACCGGAUAAUAUGUUGAACCGCAUGGUUCAAUAGUGAAAGAUGGUUUUGCUAUCACUUAUAGAUGGACCCGCGCCGUAUUAGCUAGUUGGUGAGGUAAUGGCUCACCAAGGCAACGAUACGUAGCCGACCUGAGAGGGUGAUCGGCCACACUGGAACUGAGACACGGUCCAG
rnacentral:rRNA from 1 species